rnacentral:lncRNA from 12 species
UGGGUGGAGAGCCCAUCAAAGGCAGCGACUACUUUGGAAAUGGCCGAGUGACAGAAUUCAAAUACGGUGCCAAACUGGGGACUGUGAUCCGCAAGUGGAACGGAGAAAAGAUGGCCUACUUAAAGAACUGGGGAGAAGGCUGGGGCUUUGUGCCUUCCGACAGAGCCCUGGUCUUUGUGGAUAAUCACGACAACCAGAGAGGACACGGGGCCGGUGGAUCUGCUAUUCUAACCUUCUGGGAUGCCAGGCUCUAUAAAAUGGCAUCUGGUUUCAUGCUUGCCCAUCCGUAUGGGUUCACACGUGUGAUGUCGAGUUUUCGCUGGCCAAGAUAUUUUGAGAAUGGGAAGGACAUCAAUGACUGGGUUGGACCCCCAAGUAACGAGGAUGGCUCCAUAAAGCCUGUCACAAUCAACGAGGACACGACCUGUGGCAACGACUGGGUCUGUGAACAUCGCUGGCGCCAAAUCAAGUAGGGCACUGAGUAGGGGGGAACAAGAAGUAAAAGCAGUUGCUUUUGCUUCCUGCUCCAUGUGGCGUUAGAGCUGCUGCAGGUGCAGUGACAGACACUGUUUGUGUUCUCAGGAACAUGGUUAUCUUCCGUAAUGUGGUGGACGGUGAGCCUUUCUCCAACUGGUGGGACAAUGGCAGCAAUCAAGUGGCUUUUGGCCGUGGUAACAAAGGCUUCAUCAUCUUC